rnacentral:sRNA from 1 species
GCCUUCGCCAGCGUGGUGGACAUCAAACUGCUCCUGCGCAUCUGGGACCUGUUUUUCUACGAGGGCUCCCGGGUGCUGUUCCAGCUCACGCUGGGCAUGCUGCACCUCAAGGAGGAAGAGCUGAUCCAGUCAGAGAACUCGGCCUCCAUCUUCAACACACUAUCGGAUAUCCCGUCGCAGAUAGAGGAUGCGGAGCUGCUUCUGGGGGUGGCCAUGCGGCUGGCCGGCUCCCUCACCGAUGUGGCCGUGGAGACUCAGCGCCGCAAGCACCUGGCCUAUCUCAUUGCAGACCAGGGCCAGCUCCUGGGGGCCGGCACCCUCACCAACCUCUCUCAGGUUGUUCGCCGCAGGACCCAGCGGAGGAAGUCCACCAUCACUGCUCUGCUCUUCGGGGAGGAUGACCUGGAGGCACUCAAGGCCAAGAACAUCAAGCAGACGGAACUGGUGGCUGACCUCAGGGAAGCCAUCCUGCGCGUGGCACGCCACUUCCAGUGCACAGACCCCAAAAACUGCAGUGUGGUGAGUCGCCAGCUCCCUGGGCUGCUACCAAACACGGCCCUAACUCCUCCAACCCCCUUGGUGGGCAUGUGUUCACUGUGGCAGGAGCUGACUCCAGACUAUAGCAUGGAGAGCCACCAGCGGGACCACGAGAACUACGUGGCGUGUUCACGCAGCCACCGGCGCCGAGCCAAGGCCCUGCUGGACUUUGAGCGGCACGACGAUGACGAGCUGGGCUUCCGCAAGAACGACAUCAUCACAAUCGUGUCUCAGAAGGACGAGCACUGCUGGGUGGGGGAGCUCAACGGCCUACGAGGCUGGUUUCCAGCCAAGUUCGUGGAAGUCCUGGAUGAGCGCAGCAAAGAGUACUCCAUCGCGGGGGACGACUCGGUGACGGAGGGCGUCACAGACCUCGUGCGAGGGACCCUCUGCCCGGCCCUUAAGGCCCUGUUCGAACAUGGACUGAAGAAGCCAUCCCUGCUUGGGGGCGCCUGCCACC